rnacentral:rRNA from 1 species
GUUGGGAUGCAGGCUCUGAUGGAUGUUCGGUGCAAGAAUCUAGUGAACCCUGUAUGCGACUGGCUCGGUGAGAUUUACGAGCCCGCCUCCAGGGAAUUUGUGAUUCCGGGACGUGGAAGACUGCCGUUAGACGAGGAAUCCGUGUUCUGCACGUUGGGUGUGCCCCAUGGAGAAAUCAAAGUCCCGUAUGAGGUCAAUAAUACGAUUGAGGAAAUGUUGUUUGCCCGUUUGUUUCCUGGGAUGACAUCCAUGCCGAACACGACCGUGCUGGCAAAUUCGCUGGAGGGCAUGAAAACCCAUGGCGAAGUUUUUAAGAUGAAGCUACUCAUGUACCUGAUCUCAGCUGUUUUUGCGCCGACCACAUCUCUUCGCCCAAGCAACAAAUGCUUCCCCAUCCUGGCAAAACUGAAAGAAGUGAAGAACAUGAAUUGGUGUAAGUUCAUUGCGGACUUCCUGCAUGAUGCAUUCUCAAACAAGAUGUACCAGAAGGGCUGUCGACUCCAUUUAAUGCUCAUGUACGUCGAUCGUCUUGAUCUGUCCACUGUGGACUUUACUGGGAUAGGAGGCCCGCCGCCUCCACACAAGUUUGUUUUUUCUGCGUGGACUUACGAUGCUGUCAAGGCUGUGCUUGCCGCGGACAAGAUAACUGAUACGAAAUACGGGAAACUGCAGCUGAUGGCCAAGCAUGCUAUAGACUACAGCGUGUUUGGUGGGCCUCAAAACUUUGGAAAGUGGAUGGACGUGCACUCAGCUCCGUCUUGUCCUGUUGAGGCGAGGGCACCUGUUGAGCAUCUAAUUGGGCAGUUUGCAUCCGGAAUGACCAGCUUGCUCGGGAAGUUGGUUGAGGGUUGGACGCCCCUUAAUGGCUCUGACAGCGACGCGGUUGUGAGGCAGUUCACUCCAUUUGUUGCAGAAUGGACACAUCGGCCAACUGGUUGCCGUGGUCGGUACGAUUACAACAGCUCGCAGGAGCUUCCCGACACACAAGAUGAACUAGAUGGAGAUGCUGCUCUCGACAAGGACGACGACGAUGACAUGGAGAACGUGCAACAUGAUACCGACGAUGAUGAACAUGUCGACGUUCGUGCAGGUGGUAAGAAGGGCAAGGGUGCACCAGAUGUCCCCUCACCGGAGAAAGUC